rnacentral:lncRNA from 1 species
CCGCCUUUGGAGGGGGGGCCCUCCUUCCGGUCGAGGCCGCUUCCUGCGCGGCUGGGGAGGCGUCUGUUUCGCUGCUCCGGGGCCCCCAAACCCACAUUUCGCACCCCACAACCGCAGAUCCUCAAAGGGGUUGCCAGAAACCGGUCUGCGUGGAUACCACUGCCCGUCUCCUGGGCCCCGCUCCAUGGGAUCGCCACGAGACGCGCCCUGGGCCCCCUCACGACGACUACACGAGAUUUCCGCCCGAUGUAAAUUCCACAGUUGAGCAAACUGUCAUCCUAAGAAGGUGGCUGGCAAGCCAGAGCACUGCUGGACAAGCCUCCAGUCAACGAGGAGUUUCUCUGGCUGUGAACACCCACCUGGGUGGGCAGUGCCCACUGAGAAGUUCCACCUGCUCUGGGCCUUGGGCUGUAUAAGCCCAGGCCAGGGGCCAGCACUUGCCCAAGCUGCAAGGCACAUGUGGAAGAAGGUGAGUGAGCAUGCAGGAGGGUAAAGGCCUUGGUCACAGGGCAGUGU